GUGGGAGUCUAGCAUCCUUAACAACCAUGCCAUCUGCCGGCCCCCUGUACAAAUGUUUUAAAAGAUUGAUAGCGAAGCCACCUAUACCCAGGAUGUAUAAGCUCCCCACUGAAGACAAGAAAUAAAGUGAACACAUCCCCAAGGAGAAAUGGUCAUACUGCAAUUCCCUCUCCUUCCUUCUCCUCUCAUACAGCGUGUGCCCCCCAGUGAGUCCUUCAAGUCGCCAGGUCUGGGACUGGAAUCACGAUCAGUCAUGUGGGAUCCAGCUGCUUCAACCUCGACACUAUUUGCUGGCCCUAAGCUCAGAUUCUUCAAUGUGAGAGUUGGAUUAAACCUGAACUGAUAAAUCUAA